AUUUUUCUCUAAGUAAUUCCAUGUAGCCAAAGUGUAGGUCACGAUUUUGCCCACUGAAGAAGAGGAAAUUACUUGGAUAAGACUGCAUCACUGUGCGGAGACUGGUGGCAACUGCUUCUGUUUGGAGUGAAAGAUUUUACAGUAAUAAACAAAUUUAAUGGACUAGUUCACUCUUUUUCAAUCAUGCUGUUAAAGUUUACUAUUGAAAUACUUGCUCUAGGGAAUUGACAUUCAUUCAGUUUAUUUGCAGCCUCUGUCCUGUGUAAACAGCAGGGCUAUUUUUUUUCCCUCAGAAAAGAUGAAAUUACAACAACCCAGUGAAUCUCAAAUGACAGAAACAGUCAUUUGUAUUUUAAAAACAGUAUUUUAAUACUUUCCACCACAAACAACAGAUUGAAAACAGAUUUAAGGCAGUGAUUAUUUUAUUUAUUUAAUCCAUCCUAGGGGAUCCUUAAAGUAAACAGUAAAGCUGUAUUAGAAACAAACUGCAUAGAAAUGUCUAGCGUCAUAUAAAUAUCCUCUCUUUGCUGUCUUUUAUGAUUCUCAUCUAUUCACUAAUAAUCAAAGAAAGAAACCAGCUAUUCUCUAUUAUUCUAUUUAUUGGUAUCCUGUAACUAACAGAACUUUCAAGUAAUGGAUUUCAACUUUGAAAUCACCAGAUUUUUCCAAACUCACAAACAAGAAAGAGUCACUGACUGUUUUUGACAUAUUUUUUAAUAAACCUAGAAUUUCUUUGAGUUGAUUCACAUGGGGAUUAUUGCUUUUAUGUUCCUACCUCUGUUGUAUUUUUCAUGUUACCCUUUGUCCCUUUUCCUAUGAAUUAUUUUCGUUAUCCCUAUAACUAAAACCUAUCCCUAUAACUAAAAUCAUAGUUGUAAAUGACACAAACCUAGUAGAAAAAUCUGCAAAAUACAUCAGCAGGCACUUCAAAAAUUGGAAUACGGAUGGUUAAUAAGUGUAUGAAAAGAUACCCAAAUUGUGUAUUUAAUAUACAUCUUUAUUAAUUUUAUCCAAAAUGUGUACCUGAAGUUUUUUAAAAUAAAAGACAGAUUAGUUAUUGUUAUUUACAUAAUAAUGUGAUAGCUGUCUUUUCCCCAGUGCUUACUCCUUUGGCUAGGGCAGUGAAAGCCAGAUGGUAAAAUUAUCUAGAUGAGCUGCCAGAUCUUUCAUAGAUGAGGGCUGAAGAAGAAUGAAUUUUCUCUGCUUACAUACAGGAAAAAAAGGCAGCUGUCCUCUCUUCUUCCUGAAAAAAAAGAGACCAAACCUUUCAUUCUUGGAAAUGGGAUCAAAAGGAUUCUGGGUUCCUGGUCUAACCUUUUGAAAUGUAAAUGUAUCUCUUUAAUCACAUGAGCUCUAGGGUCUCCUGCUUUCUGUAUCUAAAUUUAUCUCCAAGACCUUGGAUCUCAUUUUCCCUUGGAAUGUAAAUACAUAUCAGCAUAGAAUUCUCUCGAGUUCUCUUACUAUUCUACAGUUGUGAAUUAUUUUCCCAGCAUCUUAAGUUUUUCACACAGUUUAUUCAGAAAUGCCCAACUCUACUGAAACACAAAAAUAUGUUCCACAUGUUCCAAAACAUUGUCAUCAUGGAAAUUCAAAUUAAUACUGCAGUGCUAUCAAUGUGAUACCACUAUAUGAGAGAGAGAGAGAGAGUGACAGAAACAGAGAGAGGGGAAAAUCAUAAGGUCCCAACCUAAUGAAUAGUCUCAAGGUGAUUUCACCAUUGUUAAUAGCCUUCAGAUCAACCGAUAGAUAUGACCAUCUUAGACUGCUUCUUGCAUCCUGAUUCGCUUGAAAGAUACUAAAAUACCUUGGUGUCUUAAACAGUUCUUUUUCCUCCACAGUUUAAGAAAUUGAAAGAAUUGUCUCACACAAUUUUGGGAGCUGGUAAAUCUAAAAUGUGUAGGGCAAUUGGCAGGCUAGCAACUCAAGUAGAAGUUCAUGCUGUACCCUUGAGGUCAAAUUCCUCUUUUCUGAAAAACCUCUUUUUAUUUUUAAGGUCUUCUACUGAUGGUGUGAGAUCUAUUAUCCUUUUCAAGAAUAAUCUCUUUUACUUAGAGUUAAUUAAUUGUAGAUGUUAAUCACAUCUGAAAAAUACCUUCUCAGCAAAGCUGGGUUGGUAUUUGAUUAAAUAACGGGGCUCUAUAACCUAGUAGAGUUAACACAUAAAAUUAACUAUUAUAGGAACAGUCCACCUAAUGCUCCUAUGAACAUUCUUGCAUGUGACCUUUGGAAAAUAUGUGUAUUCAUUUCUGUUGGAAGCCAAUUUUCUGGAAUUUAAGAUAAGGAUCUUUUCAGUUUUAGUAAGAGUUGCCACAAUUUGCAGAGCAAUGUCAAUGAAUGGAAAUUUCAGCUGAUUGGCACAGUAAUUGUUUCAGCACCAGGCGUGAAAUCCAAGCUAGGCCUAUGAAGGUCCUUCCUGGGAUACUUGCCAACUCUUUCAGAAAGAUGUUUAUUUUCCUGGGAUCAAAGGCUCUUAGAACCUGGUAAAAUGCAGAACAGCUGAAAGCCACUUAGAUUCCUUCUGAGAAGGAAUUCAAGAAAAUCUGAGAAGGAAAGAGACAGUUCUAAAGAAGAUACUUAAAUCCAUAGAGAUGCAUUUUUCUUUAUAAGCGACUGUUUGUUAUGUGGCUGUUGAAUACUUGAAAUGUGUCUAGUUCAGAUUGGAAAAGGAAUGUAAAAUAUCUCAUUAAUAGGUUUUUAUAUUGAUAAAAUAAGAAAAUAUUUUGGGCAUGUUGGGUUAAAUAAAAUACACGUUCAAAGUUAUAUUCUCCUUUUCCAUUUUUGAUUUGCACUGUGACUAUUAGAAAACUUAAAACGGCAUAUCAGACUUUCAUUAUAUUUUUACUGGGUAGCACUAUACUAAAUAAACUUUUCUUGAACUGCAGUGUCACUUUCCAGUUAUAUGAGACAAUCAAAUAUUAUGUUUAAUUGUUUAGAGAUUAUGUAUAUUUUUAACUUUCUGUAUAUUUUAUUUUUUUUAACAUCUUACACUGUAGAUUUAUCCCUUUUCUCAAUUGUAGAUGUCUUAAAAUACAUUAGAUAUUGGGAAAAAUGACAAAAGAUAAAGUGCUUAUAGUAAAAACGAUCUUCAACAAAGCUCUAACUUUGUACUACAUAAAACUUAUUAUUUCAAAUACCUUUGAGAUAGCAAAUUCAACAAAAAUUUUAAUAUAAACUUCUUAGAGAUUAAAAAUGCUAGAUCAUGUUGGAUUCCUUGUUUUUAGAAUCAUCAGGCAAUUAUUAUAAACUGUCAUCAUAGCUAUAUUUUAUGUUCUACAUACAUUUUAUUAUAAGAAAUAAAAAGUACAGUCUGACAGAUUUCAAUAUAGCAAAAAUGUUCACAGUUCUGUCUUAAAAUUAAAAUAUUUAGUUAGACACAUCAAAAUAUUGCAAUCAUUAUAUCUUUAGUUUUAAGGUACAGACUGUAUUUGUAAUAUUUAACUACUUCUCUUUAGAAAAAAACCUGAUUUUGCUUAUGGUUUAUUUGUAUUAGUAUUAGUAUUUAUAAUAGCUUCCAUAAUUUCCAACUGAUUAACAUCACUGUUGCCUGAGAUAGAAAUACUAUAGAAAUACUAGUUAGAGCUAACAAGAAGCUGACCAAAGUCCUAAAAGGGAAAAUGGGGGAAUGCUAUGUCCAUAGGAGGCUUUUAAAAGUUCCCAAAUAUUCCUGGGGUCUCGAAGGACAUGCACAUGUGCAGGGCUCUAUGAUGUCCAAGGAACACCUGAAAAGCCCUUAAACUCUCACUCUGGCUGAUAAAAGACUGUGCAGUAAGAAAUGGAAGGCUAGGGAGAGGUACAAAUUGCCUUCCAUAGUUUUAAAAGCACACCCUAAAACAUACAAAUGCAAAGGAUAAGAGAUGUAUUAGUUCAGUAUAUUUAAGGGAGUUUCUGUUCAAUCAGUAGUUGACCAUUACCUGACUGUACAGAGACCACAGUAGCCAUAUAUGAUAAGGAAUACAGACUUUAUAAAAUGAAUAUAAGAAAAUCACUAAAUAAACAGAAAAAGCAAAACACAACAAAACAAGAGCUGUUGUGGAGGGGGAUCUGAUUUGCAGAGAUGCUACUAUAUUCUACCUUAAAAUUCCAGUUUUCUGCAAAAAAUUAUGAGACAUCUGAAAUAAAUUAUGAUUAUGUGUAUAAAUGUCUUUUUCUGUAUAUAAUAAAGAUUAGAGCAGAAGUAAAGUAAAUGAAUACAGAGAAUAAACAGAAAAAUCAGUGAAACCACUGAUUCAUUGAACUGAUCAACAAAAUUGAUAAAUUUUAAGCUAGCUAGUAUAGAAAAGAGAGAAGCCUAAAAUUACAACAAUUAGGAAUAAAAUAGGGAAAAUAAAUGCCAAUCAUACAUAAAUAAAAUGAUAAUAAUAGGGUACCAUAAAAUUAUAUUCUAAUUAUUUAAACUAGAUAAAAUGGUUAAAUCUCUAGAAGAUUACAAACUGCAGAAACCAACUCUAGUAAGAUGGAAAAGCUGAAUAGACCUAUGACUAGUGGCUGCCAUAAUAGAAUACAAAAAUUUGGUAGCUUAGAAACAACAGAAAUUGGUUUUUUUGCUGUUUUAGAGGCUAAAAGCCCAAAAUAAAUAUCACUGGGCCAAAAUCAUCAAUGAGACUUUUUUCUGCCACAGACACUAGAUGAGAAUCCAUUCCUUACUUCUUCCAGGUUCUGGUGGAUGCCAGCAUUCCUAGGUUUGUGGCUGCAUUAUUCUGAUUUUCAAGGCCAACAUGAUCAAAUGUCUCUUUGUUCUGUCUUCAAAAUGCCACCUCUUUUGUGUGUAUGCAUUUUCCCCUUUCAUCUGUGUCAGAUCUUCUCUUACCUCUUUCUUGAAAGAAUACUUGUGAUAUGGUACCUUUAGAGCCUACAUAGAUAAUCUAAAAUAUUGUCUUCAUCUCAAGGUUCUUAAUCAUGUUUGCAAAGGCAUCAUCAUGAGGUCAUAUGCAUGUGUUUUAGUGACUGAGUCCUAGCCCUUUUGAGAGGAUUUAUUCUGUUUAACACAGUGUUAAUGUGAAUGACUCAGUAUUCCACAUAAUGAAGCAUUCC
rnacentral:lncRNA from 1 species